rnacentral:rRNA from 1 species
AUACGGAGGGUGCAAGCGUUACUCGGAAUCACUGGGCGUAAAGCGCGCGCAGGCGGCUAUUUAAGUUGGAUGUGAAAGCCUAUGGCUCAACCAUAGAACUGCAUCCAAAACUAUUUAGCUAGAGUGUGGGAGAGGAAGAUGGAAUUAGUUGUGUAGGGGUAAAAUCCGUAGAGAUAACUAGGAAUACCAAAAGCGAAGGCAAUCUUCUGAAACACUACUGACGCUGAGGCGCGAAAGCGUGGGGAGCAAACAGGAUUAGAAACCCCUGUAGUCC